GGGGGCGUACCGGAUUCGACGGGGAACAGGUCCGGUCGACGGCAGCGUGCCGAGGUCCACCGCCUCGUAAAACAGGUGGAACAUUACAGCUGCCAACGCUGAUUACGCACUGGCUGCUUAGGUAGCCACGUCGGUCCCGAGGCUCCGCCCACCGGCCUGGGAACCGGCGACGCAUGGUGGGCUGGGCCGCCGUGGCGCCCGGAAGCGGCGGCCGAGAACCUUACGGGCUGGUCCCGAGGGCCGGGAGCCCGCCACCCGCCCGAGGGACGAGAAUUAAGAGCGGGCUGCGCACGGAGACACCGCCGGCCGGAGUUCCUCGGACGUGGGUUCGAUUCCCACCGCCUCCACCA
rnacentral:tmRNA from 1 species